GUGACUAAUCCUUUGAUGAUGGCGAUCUUGGAAAGAAGCAAAGAAGCAAAGAAGCAAAGAAGCAUUCAUUGGAAGUGCCUACUGUGCCAGAAUAAAGAAUCAGGAGCAUGAGUGGGCCAGAUGAGCACUUGGGGGCCAGUCAUUAUUCAAGAAUGGAACAUCUUUGGCAAAAUGGGACCAUAGCUUGAGAGCAGGAAGGAAGCCUAGCUACCAUCUUGUUCAACUCCAUCAUUUUGUAGAAGAAGAAAUGGGGGCUUGGAGGGAAAAAGCAAGUGGCUUGUCAUAGGGCCCUGGAGGAAGCCACAGAGCUGUCUGUCAAUACUAAGUGGGCUGAGAAAACCCAGGAUGAGUGAAGGAGCCUCAGACAUUAUAAUAGUGAUACCAACUCAAGAGGGAAUGAAAGAACCACAGUUCCCCUACAGUCUGGUAGUUAGCUGUAGGAUACAGCACAUGGAAACAGUAUGGCCUAGCAGAUAUAGAGAGGCAACAUGGCAUAAUGAAUGGAAAGCUGGCCUUAAAACCAGGAUGAUCUGGAUUGGUAUCUUUCCUCUGACACAUUCUGGAUAUAGGACCUUUCCUACAUUAAUCACUUGACUUCUUGACAUUCUAGACAACCAUCUAAAACAGUUUCACUGUAGACUAUGGUGAUGACCUAGAGUAGAGAUGGAGGACCUGAGGAUUGUCUUAAUAAG
rnacentral:lncRNA from 1 species